GGGAAUAUUGGUCAAUGGGCGAAAGCCUGAACCAGCCAUGCCGCGUGGAGGAUGAAGGCCUUCGGGUCGUAAACUCCUUUUCUGAGGGAAGAACAGCCUGGGGAGGAAAUGCCCUGGGUUUGACGGUACCUCAGGAAUAAGCAACGGCCAACUCCGUGCCAGCAGCCGCUGUAAUACGGAGGUUGCAAGCGUUGUUCGGAAUUACUGGGCGUAAAGGGAGCGCAGGCGGCCGAAUCAGUCUGAAGUGAAAUCCCGGAGCUUAACUCCGGACGUGCUUUGGAUACUGUUUGGCUUGAGUUCGCGAGAGGUAAGCGGAAUUCCAGGUGUAGCGGUGAAAUGCGUAGAUAUCUGGAGGAACAUCGGUGGCGAAAGCGGCUUACUGGCGCGAUACUGACGCUGAGGCUCGAAAGCGUGGGGAGCGAACG
rnacentral:rRNA from 1 species